AUUGAACGCUGGCGGCAGGCCUAACACAUGCAAGUCGAGCGGUAGCACAGGGAGCUUGCUCCUGGGUGACGAGCGGCGGACGGGUGAGUAAUGUCUGGGAAACUGCCUGAUGGAGGGGGAUAACUACUGGAAACGGUAGCUAAUACCGCAUAACGUCGCAAGACCAAAGAGGGGGACCUUCGGGCCUCUUGCCAUCAGAUGUGCCCAGAUGGGAUUAGCUAGUAGGUGGGGUAAUGGCUCACCUAGGCGACGAUCCCUAGCUGGUCUGAGAGGAUGACCAGCCACACUGGACCUGGGACACGGUCCAGACUCCUACGGGAGGCAUCAGUGGGGAAUAUUGCACAAUGGGCGCAAGCCUGAUGCAGCCACGCCGCGUGUAUGAAGAAGGCCUUCGGGUUGUAAAGUACUUUCAGCGGGGAGGAAGGUGUUGAGGUUAAUAACCUCAGCAAUUGACGUUACCCGCAGAAGAAGCACCGGCUAACUCCGUGCCAGCCGCCGCCGUAA
rnacentral:rRNA from 1 species